rnacentral:siRNA from 1 species
GGCUUUAAUCUAUUGAGUAUUGA